GAGAACAAUUUAAACCCCUUAACGAGUAACCAUCAGAGGGCAAGUCUGGUGCCAGCAGCCGCGGUAAUUCCAGCUCUGAUAGCGUAUAUUAAAGUUGUUGCAGUUAAAAAGCUCGUAGUUGGACUUUAGGAUACAUUGAUAUGGUCUCUUGUGAUAAACUUGUUGUACUGUAUCGAUUGUCCUUUCCUACUGGUUACUCGACUCUGUUCUUUAUUGCAUGGAGUAGUGUCGCAAGGCAUCGCUUAGUAUUUUAUUGCUUUUAGAUGUAGUAAUUGGGUAAAACUGGUUAUGAAACCUAAGGGAUCACAGUAAAGUAUUAAGUGGGGUUCCAGUUCAUUUACUUUGAGUAAAUUAGAGUGUUCAAAGCAGCCUGUAUGGGCAUUGAAUAGAUUAGCAUGGGAUAAUAGAAUAGGAUUCUUAUCUAUUUAUUGGUUUAUAGAUUUAGAAUAAUGAUUAAUAGGGAUAGUUGGGGG
rnacentral:rRNA from 1 species